CUGAAACAUCUGCUCCCGUACGAUCACCGAAGUUAAACGACGUUGAGCCUGGCCAGUACUUAGAUGAAGGAAACUACUUGGGAAUACCAGGUGCUGUAA